rnacentral:tRNA from 2 species
GCCCAGGUGGUGGAAUUGGUAGACACGCGGGACUUAAAAUCCCGUUCCCUAAUCCGGAGUGCGGGUUCGAUUCCCGCCCUGGGCACCA